UACGUAGGGUGCGAGCGUUAAUCGGAAUUACUGGGCGUAAAGGGUGCGCAGGCGGUCCUGCAAGUCAGGCGUGAAAUCCCCGGGCUUAACCUGGGAAUUGCGCUCGAAACUACGUGGCUCGAGUGUGGCAGAGGAAGGUGGAAUUCCACGUGUAGCGGUGAAAUGCGUAGAGAUGUGGAGGAACACCGAUGGCGAAGGCAGCCUUCUGGGCCAACACUGACGCUCAUGCACGAAAGCGUGGGGAGCAAACAGG
rnacentral:rRNA from 1 species